rnacentral:lncRNA from 1 species
UCUUCGCCUCCUCGAACGACUGAGAACCAGUGGUGUGUACUAUCCGGAGCUGACCACGGUUCUUCUUCGCCUGCUCGGACUUUUUCUUGAAGUCAUCAGCCUCCCAGUGCGCACACAUAGCCUCCCAGGCUAAAUCGGAGACUAUACGGGGCUGAUGAUCUCUGAUGGUGGUCUCGGGCUGGUCCACAACUGCCCGGGCUGCCUUCUGUCACAUCUCAUACAGCCAUCCAGAGUAAUUCGCAGCGACGUGAUGCUCAAUCACA